rnacentral:lncRNA from 1 species
UCGAUUCUUUCUCUCUCUAACUUUUAUAUCGUCGUUUUGAGAAGAAAAAAAUCCCCAAUUUCUAAUCUCGAGCAAACACCAAUUUUCAGAAGAAAAAAAAUAUGUUGUUGUUUCUCGACUCAGACGGGCGUCAAACAUUCCACGCCGGCGAGUUCUCUUUCAACUUCCCCUCCCGCGAACGUACUUCUCAAAGCGAGGUCCAAAAUUAGGUAAACUUCUACCUUUAAUGUUAUUGAUUUUCUUAAAUUAAUUAUGUAUCCCAUCUCUCUCUCGGUGUAUAUUGAUUGAAGACUUUGGGGGAUAUUAUGUAGUUAAAAGAGUAAAUUUAGCACAAGAGUAUACGGGAAUUUCGAUUCUGCAGAAUUACUCAAAAUUUAUAAAUAUCAGGGGAACUCUUAUCUUUCACUACUAAUUGGAUGAUGUGUAUAAUUUUUGGGAUAUUGCUGAGUAUAUGCUGAUAAUAAAUUGUGGCACUGUUCACAAGAGCAAUUGUUUAUUUAACAUUGAUACAAAUUCUCUUGUGUUUAUAUUAGUAUAUUCAGUAGAAAUAUAAUAAAAUAAGACGAUAGGAUCUCUGGUAUCGUUGAAUUUUUGCAAAGUAUUGUGUAUCAUUUUGACGAAAUUAUUUAAAGAAACAAGAACCUUUACCUAUUAAACAAUCAGCAGUACGUGGGGGCUGCCUCGAUGCUACACCCGGUGUUUAUCACUGGGUCACCCUUCUGCUGCCACGUGGUUUUAAUUUCAGUUUUAAUUUUUUUUUUUAAUUUUAAUCAUAACUCUCUCUUUCUUCACCACAUAUACAACUUGUUUAUCCCUUUAAAAAGAAUAAAGUUCUUCUCCUCCGAUUCAUUAUUAAUCCAUCUUUGCAAUUGGAAAAGGGUGUGGGAUUUUAAUGGAACUAAAAAAAGUCUGAAAUUGUUCGAACUCAACCAAAAAAUUGCAAUCCCAAUUGUCUGUAUUAUUUUUAGUUUCAUAAAAAUUCCAACUACAACUUCAAGUAUAGAAUUAGAUGAAAAAGAGGAUCACAUGAAAUUUUCUUCAUUCUGAUUUAUGUCAUAUUAAUACCCUGUUGGAAAAAUUUUACUACUACUGUAAACGAAAUUAGAUGAAGUUUUAAUUAUAUGCUUGUUAUUUUGCAGCAGAUAAUUGCUUAGACCCAAAUUUCUCUUGUUCAUCUAAUUAUAUGCUUGGGAUGAAUUCUUCUCCUUUUUGUUUUACAUACAAAUAGCCUAAAUUUGGUUCAAUUAUAUAUACUAAAGCAGAUAUUUUGCAUCCUUUCAUUCAAUUCAUUUUUUUUAAUCUUUUCUCUUAUGUAAUUUGUGUAGUUUUUUUCAUAGUAUUUUGUAUAGAAAAUAACGUAAAAGUAUUUGUUCAUUUUUUUUUUCUUGUGUGUAAUUCAUCAACUUCGUUUUUUGAAUGUAGCAAUAAUGAGUUCUAUUAGAAGUGAUCAUAUUUGAAUGUAUAAUACCGAAGUGGAUCAAUCAGAAUCAUUGGAAUGAGUUGUUGACAUAUUGGAACACCCAAAAGUUUAGAGAUAAAUCGGAAAUUAAUUCCGAUAACAGAAACUCAAGUCAUGAUGGUUUAGGUCCCUCGUUGCAUACAUGAGGAUCAAUUCCAGUUUCAGAAUAUAAAAGAAAAGUC